rnacentral:rRNA from 1 species
ACGUAGGGUGCAAGCGUUAAUCGGAAUUACUGGGCGUAAAGCGUGCGCAGGCGGUUCGGAAAGAAAGAUGUGAAAUCCCAGGGCUUAACCUUGGAACUGCAUUUUUAACUACCGGGCUAGAGUGUGUCAGAGGGAGGUAGAAUUCCGCGUGUAGCAGUGAAAUGCGUAGAUAUGCGGAGGAACACCGAUGGCGAAGGCAGCCUCCUGGAAUAACACUGACGCUCAUGCACGAAAGCGUGGGGAGCAAACAGGAUUAGAUACCCUGGUAGUCCACGCCCUAAACGAUGUCAACUAGCUGUUGGGGCCUUCGGGCCUUAGUAGCGCAGCUAACGCGUGAAGUUGACCGCCUGGGGAGUACGGUCGCAAGAUUA